rnacentral:rRNA from 1 species
GACGUAGGGCGCGAGCGUUGUCCGGAUUUAUUGGGCGUAAAGAGCUCGUAGGCGGCUUGUCGCGUCGACUGUGAAAUCCCGCGGCUCAACUGCGGGUCUGCAGUCGAUACGGGCAGGCUAGAGUUCGGUAGGGGAGACUGGAAUUCCUGGUGUAGCGGUGAAAUGCGUAGAUAUCUGGAGGAACACCGGUGGCGAAGGCGGCAUCCUGGACCGGUAUUGACGCUGAGGCGCGAAAGCCAGGGGGAGCCAAACGGG